CCCUUAGAUGUUCUGGGCUGCACACGUGCUGCACUGGCAGGUUCAGCGAGCUUCGUGCCCUGAUCUGAAAGGAAUGGGAAAUCUUUUCAAAACCUGCCGUGCUUGGGAUAGAUGUUUGCAAUUAUUCAUCUUCAACGAGGAUUGCCUUGUAAGCGCAUGCCAUCAGCUUGCAUUGAUUACGUCCCUGCCCUUUGUACACACCGCCCGUCGCUCCUACCGAUUGAAUGAUCCGAUGAAUACCAUGGAUUGAGAGUACGAAUAGGUUCGCUUAUUUCUGCUGCUCGAGAAGUGGAGUAAAUCUUAUCAUUUAGAGGAAGGGGAAGUCGUAACA
rnacentral:rRNA from 1 species